AUGGGGGACCAUGUGGUGGUGAAUGUGGACGGUUUUGCGAACACCAAGGAUGAUGGCGUUGCUGAGAAGCCAUCUGAGGCUGUGUCGGUGGCUGUUGUUGAUAUGGCGGAGGAUGGUGGCGAGGAUGAGCCACUCAUCCAGGCUGCAGAGUGCCGCAUAUGCCAGGAAGAGGACAGUAUCAAGAAUCUCGAGAAGCCGUGUACGUGCAACGGCAGUCUGAAGUAUGCUCAUAGAGCGUGUGUGCAACGCUGGUGCAAUGAGAAAGGAGACAUUACAUGUGAAAUUUGCCAUGAGCAAUAUAAGCCUGGGUACACAGCACCACCACGUGUUCAACCAGAUGAGACCAGCAUAGAUAUAAGGUCUUCGUGCCCGCUACACACGCUGAUCGACCAUCUCGAUCACAUGCAGAGCAACAACCUCGCCAUUGGGGAUUGGACCAUUACAGGAGCUCCUCUGGAUAUGCGCGACCCAAGAAUUCUUGCUGUAGCAGCUGCACAGCGUCGUCUUCUUGAAGCAGAGUACGACGAAUAUGGUGGUACUGAUGCUAAUGGUGCUGCAUUCUGUCGUUCUGCUGCACUCAUUCUAAUGGCCCUGUUGCUUCUAAGGCAUGCAUUGUCGAUCUCGGACAAUGAAGGAGAUGAUGACUCUUCUACCAUGUUCUCUCUUUUUCUUCUCCGAGCUGCUGGAUUUCUGCUGCCAUGCUAUAUAAUGGCAUGGAUCUUCAGCAUUUUGCAUCGCCGGCGACAAAGGGAGGAAGCGGCCUCAAUUGCCACGGCAGAGGUAGCAUUCAUCCUGCAAUCAGCCCAGGGCCGUGCCCUUCAGUUUACCAUCGCUCCAGACUCCCCAACCACCCCACAGCAUGAGCCACAGCAGCAGCAGCAAUAG
rnacentral:rRNA from 1 species